UUCGCAAUGCCCGAAAGGGUGACGAAGCGACGCCGCGUGUGGGAAGAAGGCCUUCGGGUUGUAAACCGCUGUCGGGAGUUAGGAAGUGCAAGGAUGUUAAUAGCGUCUUUGCUUGACUAAGGCUCCGGAGGAAGCCACGGCUAACUCUGUGCCAGCAGCCGCGGUAAUACAGAGGCGGCAAGCGUUGUUCGGAAUUAUUGGGCGUAAAGAGCACGUAGGUGGUUUUGUAAGUCAGAUGUGAAAGCCUUCCGUUCAAAGGAAGAACGGCAUCUGAAACUGCAGAUCUUGAGUGUAGGAGGGGAGAGUGGAACUUCUGGUGGAGCGGUGAAAUGCGUAGAUAUCAGAAGGAACGUCGGCGGCGAAAGCGACUCUCUGGCCUAUUACUGACACUGAGUGUGCGAAAGUUAGGGGAGCAAACGGGAUUAGAUACCCCGGUAGUCCUAACUGUAAACGAUGGGCACUAAGUAGAGGGGUUUU
rnacentral:rRNA from 1 species